GACGAACGCUGGCGGCGUGCUUAACACAUGCAAGUCGAACGGUAAGGCCCUUCGGGGUACACGAGUGGCGAACGGGUGAGUAACACGUGGGUGAUCUGCCCUGCACUUCGGGAUAAGCCUGGGAAACUGGGUCUAAUACCGGAUAGGACCCUGGGAUGCAUGUCCUGGGGUGGAAAGCUUUUGCGGUGUGGGAUGGGCCCGCGGCCUAUCAGCUUGUUGGUGGGGUGAUUGCCUACCAAGGCGACGACGGGUAGCCGGCCUGAGAGGGUGACCGGCCAAAAUGGGACUGAGAUACGGCCCAGACUCCUACGGGAGGCAGCAGUGGGGAAUAUUGCACAAUGGGCGCAAGCCUGAUGCAGCGACGCCGCGUGAGGGAUGACGGCCUUCGGGUUGUAAACCUCUUUCAGCACCGACGAAGCGCAAGUGACGGUAGGUGCAGAAGAAGGACCGGCCAACUACGUGCCAGCCGCCGCAGUAA
rnacentral:rRNA from 1 species